GGAGCGGUGUAACAGCUGGGCUGCUUCUCCACUUACAUAGACAGUCCGAUAAGGAACUCCAAAGAAGAAAACUGGGAUGGCCAACUUAAUCUCUGAUGAGCUUCCGUCAUCUACUUUGGGGGUCUUGGUAUCAUUCUGCCAAAAUGGGCAGACACAGAAUCCUGCAGAGAUCAAGGGUUUUGGUCACUCACUUUAGAGCUCACUGGAAAGGAGGUUGUGGCACUGAGCCUCUGCUCAACUCUCUGGCCAAGAGAUAAAAUCAUCUAUGUGCCCAGGGCAAGUGACAAAAUCUCUCAUCUUUAGAAUGAAGAAACAUCCUAUUUGAGUGGUGAUGUG